rnacentral:lncRNA from 1 species
GAAGAGACAGUUAAGAUAUGACGCACUACGGAGAAUGCACAGACCGAUUUUCCAACUGCUCGUUUGUGAAAGGGCGCAUGCUCCUAACUGGGUUGUAGCCUGUUCGACUCUCAUUGGUUGUCUUUCACCCCUAGUGCUUGCCACCCUGAUAGAAAGAGAGCACCCACGCUUUGGAAAACUGCCAGCUACGACAGUUAUGGCAGCUUGGGUUGGGCGCACCGAGUGUAUAUUUGUGUCGGUGGUUUCCACUUUAAAACGUCUGGAUAGAACCUUGUCUAGUCUGUUAAAGAUGACCGCAAAACAGUCGCCGUGAAUGCUGAUACCAUCCGACUUUCUCGUUACUUCCUCCUCUUUUCGUUAACGCAUACAAUAACAGAUAUAUUUAUAUAUAUGCAUACAACUAUAUACUCGCUUAUCUUCUCUGUUUUCGUCGAGACUCCUCUAUUAAAUACCAGAGCGCCAUAUUGGUGACUGUAAGUACUUUAACGAUUUAUAUAUAUUUGCUCCGUUUGCUUUAUAUUUUUCUUCCACUAAUGAGAUCGCACUAUUCGUCACGCCGGCAUCUGGAACAGCUGAUGAUGAAAAGUAUCGAGAAUUUAUGCAAAUUAGCAAGAGCGCUUUUCUACUUUUUCAAUCGAUCUUCUUCUCCUCGCACCUAACCACAUAUUAUUAUUAUUAUUAUUAUUAUUAAUCUUGAAAAAAAAUAUAUU